ACCUACGGGAGGCAGCAGUCUAGAGGCUUCGGCAAUGGAGGAAACUCUGACCGAGCGACGCCGCGUGUGGGACGAAGGUCUUACGAUUGUAAACCACUGUCAGCGGGGAAGAAUGCCUGUAUGGACAAUACGGGAGUGACGGUACCCGCGAAGGAAGCCCCGGCUAACUACGUGCCAGCAGCCGCGGUAAUACGUAGGGGGCAAGCGUUGUUCGGAUUCACUGGGCGUAAAGCGUGCGUAGGCGGUUUGGAAAGUCCGGCGUGAAACCUGCACUGCUCAACAGGCAGAAGCCGCCGGAAACUUCCAGGCUAGAGGGUGGGAGAGGAAAGUGGAAUUCCAGGUGUAGCGGUGGAAUGCGCAGAUAUCUGGAAGAACACCAGUGGCGAAGGCGGCUUUCUGGACCACUCCUGACGCUGAGGCACGAAAGCCAGGGGAGCAAACGGGAUUAGAUACCCCGGU
rnacentral:rRNA from 1 species